ACCGCCCUCCUCUCCUCCAUCUCCACCACCAACUCCUUGUCCCUCACCUACGGCUUCUUCAAGGCCUCCUCCGCCGUCUCCGGCGCCUCCCAGACCCUCUAUGUCAUCGGCUCCUGCCGUGGUGACCUCCCUGCCGAGAGCUGUCGCGCCUGUCUCAAUGCCUCGGCCUCUGACGUUCGUGACCUCUGCCCCCUCCAGAAGGAGGCGGUCCUCUACAGCGGGAACUGCACCAUCCGGUACUCUAACGCCUCGAUCUUCGGCACAGUCACGACCGACCCCCGCUACUCGCUGUCCAACGUGAACAACGUCACGAGCCCGGACACGUACAACGCGGCGCUGCAGACACUGCUGGGUAGUCUGCAGGGCGAGGCGGCGGGCGGUGGCUCGCUGAGGAAGUACGCGACAGGGAAUGUGUCGGCGGGUUUCGACAGGAUCUAUGCGAUGGUGCAGUGCACGCCGGACUUGACGGAGCAGGAUUGCAGCGACUGCCUGGUGACAGUUGUCGCGACACUUGGGCAGUGCUGUGCCGGGAAGUUGGGAGUGAAUAUCAUGGCACCGAGUUGCCAGUUCCGGUACGAGACCACUGAUCGGUUCUUCGACCCGGUCAGCGAGCCACUUCCGCCGCCACCCGCACCGCUGCCGCAGGUGGGAGAUGUGCUGCCUCCGCCGUCAGGUACGUUGGCUCUUGUUUAAAAGUUAGGUACAAGGCGAUUAUGUCUUUUUUUCUAUAACUAAUUAUGCAGGUUCAAUACAGAUUACACCAUUAAUCAUUUAAAUGAGUUUGACGUACCUGCUCUAUAGAUCAUGCAAUUUAUUUACGUUGGUUAACUUCUUUCUUGCCAAGAGAAGAGAAGGUGUGUGUUGGUCCAUUUUUUUGGCAAAGGUAGAUGUGGGCUACCAGUCAAGUCAACCAUCAUGACCAAUUCAUUGAAGCACAACUUAUGGCAUUCAUUGCUCACAAGCGGUCAUAUGAGAUAUUUAAAUUGAUAAUUAAAGACCGACCAAAAACACAAAAAAUUGAUAAUUAAAGCGAGUAUAGGCUAGGGUAAAGAAUCAUUAGCAGAUCUUCCUUACUUCUCAUCAUUCUGUCACCAUUUGUCAAUUAAUAUAAACGCAAAAAGUGAUACAAAAAGAAAAUAAAAGGGUAUGAAAAUUGCGUAGGCAUAAUUGAAACAUUGGUGACACGCACUUGCAGGAGAUCUUAGAUUAUUACUAGGACUAUAUAAAAUCCGAUGUCAAAGGAAAACAAAGGCUGAAACGUAGCUUAAUCGUGUUUGAUCAUCCGAAAAAUGAAGUUAAUUAGGAUAAGAUUGAUUAGCAAUAUUGAAUAUUUUAAGAAAUUUUGCCGAAAUCCUCUUAAUAAAUGACGUGGCGAGUAUUUUUAUUGGGUGCUGAAUUAAAUGGGAUCCAUGCAUAAAAUGAUCAACAACCGACAAAAAAUGGGCAAAUCCACUUUAUAAGAGGGUUCCAAUAAGGUCUCUUACUGCAUAUAGCAUUUCUCGAGUUAAUAUAAGAAAUUCCUCCGUAUCUUUUAUCUUUUUUUCUUUUUUUUUGGCUUGGGAAAAGUACCGAAAAUAGACAUAUAUGGACCUCUAUUAGGGUUUUUUUAACACUAAUUAAUAAAAAAAAAGUGUAAUUAAUUUAUUUUAUCCUUUUCAUUGGUGGUCCUGAUGUAUAUAGUGGUCCCAUAUGUGCACAUGGGGACCAUCCCAUAACUCAGCAGAAAUCUUUGACCGGAGAACAUUUGCAAACCAGCAUUGGUCGUUUUCUGUGUGCACUGUCAUUACUCUAAUUUCCGUAAGAAAUUCAUGAAAGUAAUAACCUAGGAGUUGAAAAGCUAACCGAUUCUACCAAAAACUUUGAAUUCUGGAGAAUAAUGUGAUAAUUUUCAAGUGUUAAUAGUCUCUAUUAGACAAAACUUGGUAAGACGAAAAAAUCCAGAAAUCCAAAUAACUUCCCCUCGAGUUAUCAAAGAAUGGUGCGAUGUAAAUUUAACAUGCGUUUCGUUUCCGCGUUCAGAGUGGCCCUUUAAUGAUUUCUCCAGUGUAAUUUUCAGUGAGCAAUGAUCGUAAACAUAAUAUGCCUUUGCUCUUGCAGGUGGAAAGAGCAAUUUGAAUAGGACUGUGAUCAUUGUGGUCGCCACAAGUGUUUCUGCGGUUUUUCUUGUUGGUGUUAUUGUACUUCUGAGAGUGAAAAGGAAGAAGCAACCCAGGCAAAGAGUUGAAGGUGAGUCUUUAUCUUUUUCGCAUUGGAACAUAAGCUGUUCAUGAGGAUUUCAAAACAUCGAAUUGAUUCUUCGAUCUACAUGUUCAUGUGCCUGCUCGGACAUGUCCAUGUACACAUUUCUCAUUGUCUAUAGUUAACAGGCCAAAGGAACCAGUUGAUUAUCUAUGCGUGCAGGUGCAAUUAUGUGUACUAAAAGUUUGUGAACUCUCACUAUGAAAACUAUGGAAAGAAUAAUUCUCGCUCUGAAUGACCAUAUUUUUCUCUUUCUAGGUGAGGCUGCGGAUGAAAUUAGCACAGUGGAGUCGCUGCAAUUUGAUUUCGACACCAUUAGAGAGGCAACAGAUAAUUUCUCUAAUUCCAACAGGCUUGGACAAGGAGGUUUUGGUGCUGUUUACAUGGUAAUAAUUAACAAAGCAUCCUCUAGUCUCCUAUAUUCAAACUUUAAGCAACAAAAUAGUCAUAGAUCACAUCAAUCUGAUGUUCUUCAAAACGCCUCAAUGUACCAAUUGACUCUUACAAAGACGUACUUUGAUGAAAUUUCAGGGCCGGUUCUUCAAUGGACAGGAAAUUGCCGUGAAACGGCUAUCUCAUAAUUCCAGCCAAGGAGAAGUAGAAUUCAAGAACGAGGUCAUGUUACUAGCUAAGCUACAACAUAGGAACUUGGUCAGGCUCCUAGGUUUCUGUUUGGAAGGGGUCGAACGUCUACUCAUUUACGAGUUUGUGCCCAAUUCAAGCCUUGAUCAGUUCAUAUUCGGUAUGUCUCUCGAGUAGCCAUUCCUGAAAUCGAAUCAUCAUGAAAUGAUUAAGGGAUGUCUUAUAGAAUGUGAUUUUCAACAAAAUGCACAGAUCCCCUUAAGCGUGCCAAUCUCAAUUGGGAUAGGCGUCAAAAGAUAAUAAUGGGGGUCGCUCGAGGGCUGCUUUACCUACACGAAGAUUCUCGACUUCGUAUCAUCCAUCGGGACCUCAAAGCCAGCAACAUUUUGUUGGACUCUGACAUGAAUCCUAAGAUAUCCGAUUUCGGUAUGGCAAGACUAUUCGAGUUGGACCAGACUCAGGCAGAGACAAAUCGGAUUGUGGGGACCUAGUAAGUGCCACAACCUCCUAAAGCUAAUACUUGCCAAAAUAACAUAGUCAAACUAUAUAGCUAACAUGAUGGACCCAUUGUGAUGCACAGCGGAUAUAUGGCGCCAGAGUAUGUAAUGCAUGGAAACUUCUCUAUCAAAUCCGAUGUCUUCAGUUUUGGUGUACUGGUUUUGGAGAUUGUGAGUGGGCAAAGGAACAAUAUUUUCCGGGCAGGCGAUCAUGUAGAGAUCCUUAUAAGCUCUGUGAGUAUAAAACAUACCUUCUCAUUUCGCAUAAUAUUUCGGAGAUCAAUGUGCUCAAUGUUUGUUAAUAUUUGCAGGUUUGGAAGAAUUGGAGGGAAGGAACAAUAUCCAAAAUCGUUGAUCCCUCUAUAACCUCUAGUUUGAGUACCGAAAUUGUGAGGUGUGUCCACAUUGGUCUACUGUGCGUCCAAGAAAAUGUGGCUAACCGACUGACAAUGGCCUCAGUCCUUCUCAUGCUUAACAGCCACUCGGUCACACUCCAAGUGCCGUCACAACCUGCAUUCUCCAUGCACAGCGACAUCGAAUCCGAUGUGUCAUCUACUCAGGAUUACGAUUCAAGGGUGUCUGACGUCAACAGACCAAGAAGCAAAUCGAACCAAUUCUCAAACAACAAGGUCUCUGUGACUGAGCCAUAUCCACAAUAGCCUUGACAAAUGAGAGAUCAAUAUGCCCUACGUGUUAAUUUAUGUGUUUGUCAUGGUUUUCGUAUCAUCAAAAUUACUUUCUCGUGAUUUAAUUCUUCCUAGCAAAUACCCUUUUUUUGUAGUGCUUAAACAAUAUAUGGAGCUAGAUUUAUGUAUCAAACUGAGUGUAUUUUCCAAUUUUGUCAAAGGCACGCCAUCUACAUGUAUGUCCAUGCUAGAGAUCCGUGAGGAAUUGCCAUCUGAAGAUAUAGCUUAACGCAGUUAAACUGGGUAAGACUGGAACCUAAAAUCCCGAGUUUCUCGAGACACAAGUUUCCAGUUAUUUUACCAGUUUAAGGUCCUCCUAUGGCAAGAGCAAUUGCUCAGACAUGGAUUGUUCAUGAGACCUUCGGAAGGACCCUAUCUCCACUUUGAAAAAGACAACUACAUGAACUCACGAAUUAAAUCAAAUAAAAGUGAUCAUUAGUUGUUGCGACCAAAAAAUGACCAAGUCUUCUAAGUGGACAUGACAUCAAUACAAAAAUCAAUAUUAAGUGAUUAUACCAUCCAUAAGUCAUUGAAAUGCUUGUUGAUCGCCAAGAUAAUCGAUGGACAUAGUACAAUUAUCGACAUAUGAUAACGACUAAUCAAUGAUUGAUACUUAGAUAAAUUUAGAUAAAUGUUAAAGGCAAAAACUGAGGACAAUAAAGAUGUCGAUUAAGGGUUAGAUCAAGUGACAAUUGAGAAGUCAAAAUGGCUUGUAGAGAAGGUCAACAUGUAAUGAGGGAGAGCAAUCAUGGAGUCUAAACUUAUGGAAAUGCAAUUGAGUCCAAUCAAAAAUGAAGAGUUGUAGCUACUUAUAAAUAAGUUUGACGUGCAAUCAUGGAUUAUGGUCAUAGAGCCUAAAAUCGUGGAGAUACAAUUGUAAUCUUUAAUUUGAAAAUUAACCACUUAGAUAGGGUGACAUUUUUUAAUACAAUAUAUAAGCCACGUUGAAUCAUUCGAAGGAGGACACAAUCAACCACACAAACUAUGCAUAUUUUAGCUUAUCCAUUUAUUUUUCAGUUCCAGAAUUUAUUUUCUUCUAAAGUAAUUAGUCGUAGAUCUUGGUUACACUUUCUACUUCCUAUGCUAAAGAACCCAGUUCAAAAGAUGUUGACACAUAUUUUUAAACAAAAAAAAAAACAAACAAACAAAACAACAACAAAAAAAGAAAGAAAGAAAAGAGAGAGAACGCGAGGAUGGCCAGGUUGGGCCAAAUCCGGCCUCGGCCCAACUUGCCUCUCCCUUUUCUUCUCUCACACGCACACGGCCUAGCCUAGCUUCCCUCUCCCUUCAACCCGGCCCGCGACCUAGCCAUCUUCGCGCCCAAAAACCUGCAAAAAAGGAGCGGGAGAAAAGACAACAGCAGAAGCAAGGGAGUAGAGUAGGAGCAGAAGAUAGGGGCGAAAAAGACAGGAGCAGAAGAAGAGCAAGAGGAGCACAGAUCACAGUAGAAUAGCAAGAGGAGCACAGAUCACGGUAGAGAAUAAGGACUAGGAAAAAGGAGCGAUCAAGGAAGAACAAAGAGGGCAAGAGAGAGGAAACGAGAGGGAGAAUAACAACGGAGAAGGGGAGAAACAGGAAAAAAAAAAAGGGAGGAAGACAAAGCCUUUGCAGGUCGACUAAGGAGCCAAGAGCCCCUGGGAUGCCUUGCAACCACCGAAGAGCUGCCUGUCAGUCGUCGAUCGCUGCCAUUUCCUCUGAAGCUUCAGCUGGGCAUUAUGUCGAACGCCUGGUGUGCGUGUGCUUAACCGAACCGGUCAGAGCUCGCAUCGACUCUUUCAAGCAAGAUCUGGCCCUUCUCCCUGUCCUCCUUUGCAUUUUCUGCUAUUACAGUACGCCUCGCUACCCCUUUCAGCUCGCACUAGUCUCAACCAAGCCAAAAACCUCUCAAUCCGAUCAUGCCCACCACAUGCUAGCCAAAAUACCCAGUCGAAAGUUAGUUUUUGUUUCCCACAUUUAGAGAUCCAGCACGAUCAAUAGGUCACUAGAAGGGACGCCAUCGUCUAGCCAUACGAGGAGCGUCGUCCUUCCCCCCAUCCGAGGCGACGUCGUUGUGCUCGAGCCGGAGAACCACCCGGGCACGGCGUCACCUCCUAUGGUCGGGCUUGGCCCAUUCGGGCCGGCUAAUUGGCCCGCCCCCAACCAAGCCAAACCCGACCCGGCCUAGAUGAAAAUAAUAAAAAAUAUUACUUUUUUUGACCCGGCCUAGGCGAAAAUAAUAAAAAAUGUAGGGUUUGGUUAGGAAUUGUCAUGUCUUGCCCUCUUAGUGUAAUUAGGCAUUUAUUUGCUUGUAUAUUAAUUAUAUCGCAUGUUUAAUUUGCUUCUUUUAUUAUGUUUAAUUGCAUGUGCUAGAGUUUACUGCAAUUAAGAUUUUGGUUGCAAAUUGUUACUUUAAUGAUUGCAUACAUGCAUGAUCCCCUCACAUGUUAGUAGAUAGGUAUAAAGUCAAUCCAAACUGCCUAACAAUUUUUUUUUCUUUUAAAAUGAACGAGAUUAGGUACCAAAAGAGCACUAAUUUGUUAAUUACUGUAAUCAAGUCCCUGACUCUAGAUUCUCUGGUUGUGUAGGAAAUGAGGUACAUUGCCAUGCCUCACUUGGUUUCUAGCCAACCCCAAUAGACUAGUGGCCACUCCUUAUUGUGAACUUCUUGAGAACAUGCCAAUGUCACGUGAGAUAUGGGCUUGGGAGAGCUAAGCCUAAUCUUGGACCAUAGGCCCGUCCUUUAGGCAAUACCCCUAAACCUAUUUCCUCCCCCGGAGGGGUAGGUCGCGAUAGCUUGGCGACUCCGCUGGGGACCUAGUUUAAACCUUAAAGGACUCGGGCCUAAAUUUAUCUUGUUCAAAAAAUGUUUUUGUUUGGUAGCAAGGAUAUUGGGUACAUCCCUAAUGCAAUUGUUAAAUGUUUAUGCAGUUGGGAGUUAUAAGAAGAGAAGUGAUUGUUAACCCCUUGUCUUGUAGGUUUGGAGUUGGGAACGAAUGUUUAUGUUUUGAAAUUAUGAAGUGCUGCUUGCUUAUAGAUUGUCAUGUCCGUGUUCCCUACAUUGCACUACACCAUGACACACUACCUACCGCCGAACCUGGGCCGCAUAGGAUCACUUAGGAUGGUAUUGAAGUGGAUACCACUCCGACUACAACCACGUAGUACGAGCCGCCUAUCUCAACCCUAAAAUUUCUUUCUUGAUAUCAAAGGUCCCUACCUUGGUCUGCAACCACAUGACACAGGUUGGUUCUUUGACGAAGCCGAAGUUAUAGGAAACACGACCUAGCCGCAAUCUCGUUGGUUCGGUCUAGUAAUCCUAUGGCUUUAUUUCGAGCCGUAUAGAGUAGAAAUCAAACUAUAUCCCAUGUGUAUGUCUAUGUAAUAAAAAUAAGAGAGAGAGAGAGAGAGAGAGAGAGAGAGAGAGAGAGAGAAGUCAUCCCCCACUGUAAGUAUCAUUCUUCUUUUUAUUUGCUUUUUUUUUAUUAUUGAAUUUUCAUUUAAAAAUUCGCGGAGACCAAUCAAAUGUCCUCAAUUAUGUAGGCUUAUAAUUGAAAAAAAUUGACAAUCACUCUUGAUAAGUGAACAUUGAAUGCAAGUUUUAAACACUUUGAUUUGGCCUUGUUGAACACAUGAUUUUGUUUAAAUUUCUAAUUAUAGGCUCAAAAUGACAUCUUAAAAUAAAAAAUAAAAAUAAAAAACUUUCAAGUUGCAAUUAUAAUGGGGCACAAAAUAUGAAAUUACAUUUUUAAUCAAAUUCUAUCAUUCUCACAUUUUGGGACUAAAAUGCAUUUUGUAUACAAAUUUCUCAAAAUAGAAGUGACUUCAUUUUUCUAAGAGUAAAAUCACAGAUCAAUCUUUCAAAAAUCAAUACCACUUUUGCAUAUGAAACUUUUUGAAUAGAGUGGAUAUUCGAUUGAUAGCCAUCGAUGGGUCUUUUAAUGAUGCCCCUUCUCUUAUGACUAAUCUUGGUGAAAUACCAAAAUCCCAUAAUAGGGACUAUGGGGCAUGAGAUGUCAUCUCGAUUUUGCUGUAAGAGAUGACCGCAUUGAAAGAUUAAUUUUUCAUUUACAUACUAACAUUGUCAUCUUUUUGCAGGUUAUGUGUGAUGCUCCUUGACAUUCUCGUGUUUGACCACAUAGAGAAGUGAAUUUCUAGAGCUAGGACGAGUUUGAUUUUUACUCUUAUCUAUGAAAGAGUUUCUUGUAUUUUAUCAUUAUUUUUAUUCUUGUUAAGAAUCAUGUUUUCCAUUUUGGGUUUUGAUUGCGAAUCCAAUUGAUGCUAUUGUAAAUCAUGCAACUCAAAUUUUUUAAUGAUGCAAUUCAAUUUCGUGAAAAUCAUUUUAAAAAAAAAAAAAAACUCAGAAGUGUUUCCAAACAAACCUUAUGUCUAACUUCAAAAUGUUUUGAAAAUGAAUAUCGAGAAAACUUUGCGUAAAGCCCUCUCUUCACGUGGUCGCUUUCUCAGGUAGAAUGAGGAGUUUAUUUGAAAUCAGCAUCUACCCCUUCUAAAAGAUAAAAGUGUAGGCUCAUGGAACUCGAGGAGCAAGCAUGCGUCAAGGCUUUGUUGGCACCAAUCUUCCAUAGAGGUGGAACGAAGUUGAAUUCUGUUCUAGGAAGUUUCUUUAUUUGGAGGUUAGGCAUUGCCAUCACUAGAUUUUUUUUUUAAAGAGCUUUAUCAAGAGCCACAUCAUAUGUUACUAAAAGGCUAGCACUAGGACUCUUGCACAUUUUGGCAAUUAAAGCAUUUGAACAUUUGGCUGCAAGAACUUUCUAAAAUCAACUUUAUAGAUUCAUGUCACUAAAUGCUAUUUUCUUAUAUGCUUUAUCGCAAGGCAAUGACGCAAAUGCCUUCAGUGCCAAAAUAGCCCUUCAAUCCCAUUCACUUUGCAUGAUGAGACAAAUGAAGGAAGUUGCCAAGCAUCCAAAAAGGCGAAUUUGAACCAAUUAUCCAUUUCUGAUAUUGUUUCUGACAUGACUUUCUUUUUAUUGUCAAUGAGACAUCAAGAGUACCAAGUUUUGUAACGUUCCAACAAACGCGAUGGAGCAUUAUUAAGUCCUCUCAUCUUAAACAAAAGAAAGAUUCAAAUGAGACAAAGGGUAAUAUUAUCCCUUCCUCCAUAAGAGAUACCUUGGGAUGUUGAUCGCCCGACUUUGAAAAAAAUAUGUAUUUCGUUCCUAAACUUGAUUCUCUUUAGCAUAAAAAAUGACAUAUCCUUUUCUUUGGGUACAAUAUUUGCUAGAAAUCGUUGACAUAGACGCUAGUCGUUAUAUAUGGCAUGAUUGGUUCUGACAUGGACAAUUUUUUGUAAAAUUGAUUUGAAUUUUCUGAAUUUUUCUUUUCUUUUUUUCUUUUUCUGAUUUACUCUCAGAAAGGGCUAGCAAAGGCCAUUGUGGAUAACGAUGGGGAGCAAGGGUCACAACCAUCUGCGAUGGCCCUCACCAGCCCUUUUUGGAAGUGAAUGGCAAAAAGAUAAAAAAAAAAAAAUAAUAAUAUAUAUAUAUAGAUAAACUACUCAUAAGAGAUUCAAAAAUUUUAAAAAUAAAAUAUAAAAAAUAAAAUAAAGGAAUCAUCCACAUCAAAAAUUUAUGACGAAUUGAAAAGACUAAAUUGACAUAUCAUCAAAAGGUUUAUGACAAAAUUAACAAACUAGAAAGGUUUAGAAUUGUAUUGGCCAGCGUAGUUUUAGAGGAUAAUUUUUCCUUUAUUAGUAGCUACAAAGUUUACCUUUUGUUCCUUUACCAAAAAAAAAAAAAGUUUACCUUUUGUUUUAUUUUGUUUGCAGAAGUCCUCAACAGAGUUGAAGAUCAACCUCUCACCCACGCCGAAUCGUGACCCGUUUGCUAUCUGGGCACCCGUGCCGGGCGUCUGAAGUGGUAUUGUUGCUGCAUUUGGCGCCAUCAUUCACGGAGAGAUCGCCCAUGAACUUUGUUUCCGAUGGCCCUCUCGUAAAAGCCGCAAUAAAUAUGGGUUUUCCUCGAUAGAGAAGUUAACAGAUUGUUAAGACUAGCCCGAGACGGCUUCUCACCGAUGGUUAUGUCGGAUUGCAAGCAAGACUCGCCCGCGUUGUAAUCCGAAUGAAAAGGACUCUGAAGCUGAUGAUAUCUUGUACUCAGCAGUGCCGAGGCUGAUCCACUUUGUGCCGGUUCAUGCAAAGUUGGGGAGAAUAGGAGAUCAACGUCCCGGAAUAAGGAAUGUCUAAAGGAAGUUAAGGGUCCAUUUGUUUUGCAGAAAAUAGAUAAUUUAGAAAAAAGUAAUUAGCGAGAAAUAUUUUUUUUAUUGACAAUAAUUUAUGUCUCAAAAUUUUUGGUGAACCAUGAAAGUAUUUAUCCUUUUUGUAUGCGAUACAGGAUCAUUUUUAGGAAAAAUAUUUUUCAAAUCACUUAUUUUUCAUGAAACAAACGAAGCUUUAAGUGGAAUUCGGAAUGUUGCACUAGAACUCUCGAUGCACUUCUACCUAGAAACACUUUACUUUCACAUCCAAAUAAUUACUAACUUUUGAUGUUAGUAAGUUUCAAUUAAUCAUAGAGAGAGUAAGUUUUUCACAUUAGUAAGUAACUUUCCCCGCAAAAAACUUUUCUAAGCAGCUUAUUUGCCAUGUAUGUUAAAAAGCUAGACUACAUAUAGCCGUACCUUAAUCAGAAACUUUUAUAAUCAAUAGUUAAUGGCCAAUUGAAAAAUCGAAAUUUGGGGUCAAUGUUCUACUUAGGAAUUCCAAAUAUGGUUGAUCCAUUCAAUAACAAUUAUUCAAUUCGUAAGUUCUUUCUUUUCAUUUUUUUUUCUUACUGUGUUGAAUUAUUGCUGCAGUCGUCCUUGGUUUACCGAAUCUUAUUCUCCCAUUCCAAUUAGCACUACCCUUUAGGUGUCUUUGAUCUUGAUUAAUCCCUCUAAAUAAAAAAUGAUCACCACUUUUCAAACUGUUCUGUUCAAAUUUAGAAUAUUAUUAAAAUUUUAAAUAUUACCCAAAAUUCCAUAUAAAUGAAUUUACGGUCAAUUCUGAAAAAGAAAACGCAGCACAUAGUUCGUGCUCGUCAUGGAAGGGCGCUUUGACCCGGGCCAUAAGGACGCGUGUUGGAAAAGAUCAACUUCGAAGAUUCUAUUGUUUCCAUUUUCGUAAUUGUCCGUGUCAACUCCAAUCUCAAUCAUCGGUCACAAGAUAUAUUAUACAAUAUAGACUGCAACCUUCGUAGCAAUUGCUUAAAGUCAAUAUGGAAUAGUAGUGGCCCGUUCUUGAGGCAAAGAUAAGCGUGUUAUCACAUAAGUCAAGAUCAAUGAUGAGUGGGCAUGAUGAUUCAUAUAUAUAUUAUCAAAAAUUUAGAGAGAAGCGGAAAAGUCGGGAUUUGAUCGAACAGAUUGUUGCACACAAUUGAAUAUUUCACAUAAUUUUAUGGGCAAAUGUUCGAAAUCUAGGCUCUAUGUUGUGUGUUCUAAGCUAUGUAGCAUUUAAAAUGCUGCCGUGAUGAAUUAUCUAUAUAACAAACUUAUUUUAAGCGGUCGGCAAAGCAAACGUCCUGAACAAAAAUUUGAUGUUGAUAUUGGACGUUGAAGUUAACCAAAACCCAUGAUUCGCUUUAGGAACACCAUUCUCAUUCGUUCAAAAAGUUUUUCAACGUAAGGACGAUUAUCGAGCAAGAGGGGGAAGUUUGAAAAGGAAAAGGCUAAUGCUAACAUUUGUAAAAUAAUAAAAAUAAAAUGUUGUUAGUUGAUAAGUGGGAAGAAGGUUCUCUAGACCCAUUAAAUGUUUCGAGUUGGAAAACUAUCCAAAACAAUUGUAAACAUAUUGUUCAACGGUCAAUUCAAUCUUAAAUAUUUCAAUUUUAUCAAUUUAAUUCAAAAUGUUUUGAUAAUUUAUCGAUCCAGUCCAAAUAUUUUAACAAUCUGCCAAUUUAAUCCCAAACUUUUUUACAAUGUGCUAAUUUAGUCUUAAACAUUUUAAUCAUUUAUUAAUUUAGUCCUUUCGGCCAAUUUUGGUUAGAAAUCAUUGACAUGACAAUCUAGUUAGUGACAAUCAUCCUACUUGGCAUAGCUAGUGCCAACAUAAAUAAUUUUUACAAUUUUAAAUUUAAUUUAAUUUUCCUUAAUUUAUCAUAAUUUUUUGUUCUUUUCUUUCUUCUUUUAUUUUUCUUACUCUCUAGUGAGGUCACCGCUCGACCAGGUGAGGGUCACAACUCCCUCACCGGCCAUAGGCGAGGGCAUCCUAACUCUUGCCCAAAUAUAGGCAAAGGUGUAGCGACCAAGGUCGGCCAGCGACCUCGCUGGCGGAGAAAGAAAAGAGAAGAAGAAAAAGAAAGUAAAAGAAAAAAACGAAAAAUUAAAUAAUUCAGAAAAAAAAAUUAAAAAUUAAAAAUACAAAAAUUUUCCAUGUCAAUGCCAAACAAACGACAUAGGACAACUACACUGACUAAACUACCGCGUCAACAGUGUUCAGCCAAAAUUAUCGGGAAUGACUAAAUUGAUAAAUUGUUAAAAAAUUUAACACUAAAUUGGCACAAUUAAAAUGUUAAUGACUAAAUUGGCAAAUCAUCAAAAAAUUUAGAAGUGAAUUGGGUGUUGUACAAAAGGUAUAAGACUUUUUUUACAAUUAUCCGCGUUUUGAUAUGAUCUUGGAGAAAGAAUAAUACUAGGUGUACUCAAACUUCUUGCAAUAAUAAUUCACUCAAUGACGAGAAAUGUUUUAGCAAGAAAAAUUCUAAGCUCGUGUUAGUUAAAAGCCGCGGCCGAAAAAUAUAGAAAUGGCUGGUUGAGAAUUCAAAUAUUUACAUUCAUCUGGCCUCCACUUGGUCAAUCACUGGUUUUCUGGCAAAGAAAAAGAAAAGAUUCAAUGAUUUCGCACGUAUCAAAAUUCAAGCCGCCACAACCCCCAUUCCAAGUCAAAAGCCGCGGCCGAAGCAGAUUCGACCAGGCGAACUUUAGUAGGAGCUACACAAGCUAUUAAUCAAGGAGAGGCCCGAAACACCAAAUCAAAAAAAGAAAAAAAAAGACAGAUGGAUCCUCGGAAUCUCCGUCUCUUGCUUCUUCUCGUGUUUGCUUCCACCAUCGACGCCCAAGAUCUCUUCCCAAAGCCGUACUGUGGUUCGACCGGCAACUUCAGCGCCGACAGCACCUACCAAACCACCCUCACCGCCCUCCUCUCCUCCAUCUCCUCCACCAACUCCUUGCCCCUCACCUACGGCUUCUUCAACGCCUCCUCCGCCGUCUCCAGCGCCUCCCAGACCCUCUAUGUCAUCGGCUCCUGCCGCGGCGACCUCACCGCCGAGAGCUGCCGCACCUGCCUCAAUGGCUCAGCCUCCGACAUCCGCGAUCUAUGCCCCCUCGAGAAGGAGGCGGUCCUCUACAGCGAGAACUGCACCGUCCGUUACUCCAACACCUCGAUCUUCCGCACACUCGAAACCGACCCUGACUACCAGCUGUUCAACGUCAACAACGUCACGAGCCCAGACACGUACAACGCUGCGCUGCAGACACUGCUGGACCGUCUGCGGGGCGAGGCGGCGGGCGGCGGCUCGCUGAGGAAGUACGCGACGGGCAACACAUCGGUGGGUUUCAACACGAUCUACGCGAUGACACAAUGCACGCCGGACUUGACCGACCAGCAAUGCAGCGACUGCCUGGUGACAGUCAUCGGGAGACUUGGGCAGUGCUGUGCCGGGAAGAUGGGAGUGAGGAUCAUGGCCCCAAGUUGCCAGUUCCGGUACGAGACCAAUGAUCGGUUCUUCGACCUGGUUGGCGAGCCACUUCCGUCGGCGCCCGCACCGCUAUCACCGGCGGCAGACGCACCGCCUCCUUCGCCAGGUUUGUGUUAUUUUUUUCUAUAAUUCGAGUGGAUUAAAAUCAUCUAAAUUAUUAAUUAUGUGGAUUUCACAUGACAUUUACACCGUAAUCCGUUCAAAUAUGCUCAAUUUAGAUGUUCUUUAGAUCAUGUAAAUUUUUUGGUUGGAUAAACGCGUCUUUGCCAAACACGGGUGGGUUGGUCCAUAUUUUCGACAAAAGAAGGAAUGGUUCCCUAACUCUAAUCAUUGAUGCAUCUCCAAGCUGUCAUGAGAUUUUUAAAGUCCAGGCUAGGGUAAUGAAUCAUUAGCAGAUCUUCCUUACUUCUCGUCAGUCAUUCACCCCUUUUUGUCAAUUAAUAUAAACGCAAAAAGUUCUUUGACACAGCGAAAAAAAUGGGAAAGAAAAUUUCGAGGCCAUAAUUGAAACAUUCGUGACACGCACUUGCAUGAGAUCUUAGAUUAUUACUACAACUUUGCAGUAUCAGACGUCAAAGGAAAAGAGAAGCCGAAACUUAACUUAAUUGAGCUUCAUCGUCUGAAGAUGAAGUUAAAAAGAAUUAGAUUGAUUAGCAAUAUUAGACAUUCUAAGAAGUUUUACUGAAAGCUUUUUAUUAAAUAACAAGGCGAACUUUUAUUGGGCGCUGAAAGAAAUUGGACCGAUGAUGCAUUAAAUGAUCAACAACCAAUUAGAAAUCAGCACGUCAUUUAAUCAGAGGGUUUUGGUAAGAUCUCUUAUUACAUAAAGCAUUCCUCGAGAUUGAGUUAGAUAAGAAAAUCCUCUAUAUUUUUUAUAUCUAAUUAUUUGGUCUUAAUCCUAAAGAAAGACGGCUGUAUUUUGACCUUUCAAGUGUUUUAUAAUGAUAAGAUAGGACGGGCCAAGAUUUUUUUUUUUUUUUAAAGAAUCAAAUGAAUGAAAACUAAGACCAAAGCACGAUGGAUUCGAAUACAGCUGCCGUGAGGGUGACCCAACCCGGCAACGACCGGCGUGAUUGUUGUCGUAUCCAUCACAGUAAUAGAGCAAUGAAUUAGGAUUAACAUUAAUCUUUCUCCCUUCUCUUUUAUUCUUUUCGUCGGUGUUCCUCAUGCAUAUAGUGGUCCCGUAUGUGCAUAUGGGGAGCAUCUAAUAACUCGGCAGAAAUCUUUGACCUGAGCAUUUGCAAACCAGCAUUGGUAGUUCCUAGCUCCACUCGGUUUCUUGUAAACCGUUGCACUGCCAUUACUCUGAUUUCCGUAAGAAAUUCAUGAAAGUAAUGAACUUGUGGUUGAAAAGGUAACCGAUUAUACCCGAAAACUUCAAAUUCUGGAGAAUAAUGUGUUAUUUUUCAAGUGUUAAUGCUCUCCAUUAGACAAAUCUUGGUAAAACGACAAAAUCCAGAAAUCCAAAUAACUUUCCCUCGAGUUAUCAAAGAAUGGUGCAAUGUAUGUUUAAAAUGUGUUCCGUUUCCACGUUCUUUGAAAUGGCGCUUGAGUGAUUUCUCCAGUGUAUUACUAUGUAAUCGGUAAGCAAUGAUCCUAAACAUGAUGUGCCUUUGCUCAAGCAGGUGGAAAGAGCAGUUCAACGAAGACUGUGAUCAUUGCAGUUGCGACAAGUGCUUCUGCGGUCCUUGUUAUCGGCGUUGUCAUACUCCUGAUAAUGAAAAGGAAGCGGAAGCAGCCCAGACAAAGAGUUGAAGGUGAGUCUGACUUUUGGCAUUGGAACAGCUACUGUCCAUGAGGUUUAAAGGAUCAUGAAAUUAAUGAAGUUGACUAUUUACUAUGCUUUUCUACCAGCGCGAUAUUGACAAUUAGGCCAACAUUUUCCAAAAAAAUUGGGUUGAGAAUUACAGAACAUGGAAUUGAUAUUUCGAACUUUACAUUCAUGCGCACCGCUUGGACAUGUCCAAUUACACAUUUCUCAUUUACUGUAGUUAGCAUAAACUGAUUGAGCAGGCCAAAAUAGGAAGUUGAUAGUAAUCCCUGCAGGUGCAACUCUUUAUCCUAAAAGUUUGACAAGCUUUUAUCAUAAACCCUAUGAUAAAGACAUUCAUGCUCUGAAUGACUUCAUAUUUCUCUUUAUAGGUGAAGUUGAGGAUGAAAUAAGCACGGCAGAGUCACUGCAAUUUGAUUUUGGCACUAUUAGAGCGGCAACUGAUAACUUCUCUGAUUCCAAGAAGCUUGGACAAGGCGGUUUUGGUGCUGUUUACUUGGUACUAAUUAACAAAGCAUCCUCUAGUCACUUCUAUUUGAAAUUCAAGCAACAAAAUAGUCAUAGAUGACAUCAAUGUGAUACUCUUCUAAAUGCUUCAAUUAUAUAUCGAUACUCAUGAGGAUCUAAUUUGAUGAAAUUUUAGGGUCGGCUCUCCAACGGACAAGAAAUUGCGGUAAAACGGCUGUCGCAGAAUUCUGGACAAGGAGAAGUAGAAUUCAAGAAUGAGGUAAUGUUAUUAGCUAGGCUACAACAUAGGAACUUGGUUAGGCUCCUUGGUUUUUGCCUAGAAGGAGUUGAGCGGCUUCUCAUUUACGAGUUUGUGCCCAAUUCAAGCCUUGACCAGUUCAUAUUCGGUAUGUUUCUCAAGUUGUCAUUCCUCAAAUCAGAUCCUCAUGAAAUGAUUAAGGGACUUCUUAUAGAAUGCGACUUUCAACAAAAUGUGUAGAUCCCCUGAAGCGUGCAAAUCUCAACUGGGAUAGGCGCCACAAAAUAAUAAUGGGUGUUGCUCGAGGGAUGCUUUACCUACAUGAGGACUCUCGACUUCGUAUCAUUCAUCGGGACCUCAAAGCCAGCAACAUUUUGUUGGACUCGGACAUGAAUCCUAAAAUAUCAGAUUUUGGUAUGGCGAGGCUGUUUGAGUUGGACCAAACUCAAGCAGAGACGAACCGAGUCGUGGGGACAUAGUAAGUGCCACAACCACCUAUAGCUAAUGCUUACCAAAAUAACAUGGACAAACUAUAGAGCUAAUAUGAUGGAUUUAUUGUGAUGCACAGCGGUUAUAUGGCACCAGAAUAUGCAAUGCAUGGAAACUUCUCUGUCAAGUCCGAUGUCUUCAGUUUCGGAGUGCUAGUUUUGGAGAUUGUAAGUGGUCAAAGGAACAAUCUUUUCCAAGUGGGCGAUAACACAGAGGUCCUUAUAAGCUAUGUGAGUAUAAGAACAUAUCUUCUUAUUUUGUAUAUUGCUUCAGAGAUCAAUCUGCUCAAUGUUUGUCAUAUGUUUGCAGGUUUGGAAGAAUUGGAGGGAAGGAACAAUAUCAAAUAUCAUUGAUCCCUGUAUAACUUCUAAUUUGAGUACUGAAAUUGUGAGGUGUGUCCACAUUGGUCUACUGUGCGUCCAAGAAAAUGUGGUUAAUCGACCGACAAUGGCCUCAAUCCUUCUCAUGCUUAACAGCCACUCCGUCACACUCCAAGUGCCAUCACAACCUGCGUUCUUUUUGCACAGCGGCAACGAGUCCGAUAUGUCAUCAACGCAAGAUUACAGUUCGAGAGUGCCUGAGGUCGACAAAUCAAGAAACAAAUCAAACCAGUCCUUGAAAAAGGAGGCCUCCAUGACCGAGCCAUAUCCACGGUAGCCUUGACAAACGGUAGAUAGUCAUAGUGUGCCCUAAGCGUUAAUUUGUGUGUUUGUCAUGGUUUUCAAAUUAUCAAAAUUACAUUCUCAUCAUUUAAUUAUUCCCAGCAAUUAAUGUUUUUGUGUAGUGUUUAAGUGACAUACUGAGCCAGAUUUUACGCAUCAAGCUAGAUGCAUUUUCCAAUUUAGUCAUAGGCGUGCCUUCUACAUGUAUGUCCAUGUUAGUUAGGAAUUGCUAUUUAAAGAUAUAGCCCAAAACAGUUAAAUUGGCUAAGAGUCGAACCUAAAAUCACGAGUUUCUCAGGACACAAAUUUCCAACUAUUUUACUAGUUUAAGGUUCUCCUAAGGUUAGAGCAAUUGCUCAAACGAUGAUCGUUCAUGAGACUUGAGAAGGAUCUAUGACUACUUUGAACAAGACAACUAAUUGAACUCACCAAUUAAAUCAAAUAAUAAUGAACAUGAGUUGUGGACACCUAAAAAUGAUUGAGUCUAUCUUAAUCAGCAGCGCAGCAACAAUGGAUAGUAAAUUUACAAUUAUGUCAGGAGCUAUCGAUCGAAAUAAAAUGAGGAACAAUAAAAGAAAAGGACAUCGGAAAUUUACGUGAUUCAGUCCGAAUGUCGGAAUCUACGUCCAUGGAGAGAACCAGCAAAUUAAUCUACUAUAAAUUGGAGAAUUACAGGAUAACAAUCCACAUGUACUCAAGUGUUUCCCAGCCCUACUUUAUACCCGAUACCCAAGGUGUUUAACAAAACAACUCGAUGGACUAAGACUCCGCACAAAUCUCUCUGAGCUCACGUCUCUCGCUCUCGGUCUCUCGAGCUCUUUUCCUUUCGCUCUCUCUGCCGAGCUCUAUUCUUUCGCUCUCUCUCGAGCUUCAGACGUCUUCACCUUUUAUCGGUUGAAGGGGAGGAAACAAAACAAAAUAAACUUGUACUCCACAAUUGUCAGAACGGUGCCGAUCUUCAAAGCAUGCGCCUCCAUCCAAUUAUUGAUAGCGUGUGAGCGAAUGACCAGCAUGCACUGACACACGUAGAAUACCUUCUGCCUUCCCUCUUUCUUUAUUAAUAAAAACAAGAGAAGCCCACAAAAGAUGACCAAGAAGAGAGGGUGAAUUCGGCGCCUACGUGAUAGGCUUCUGAAGCAGCAAGUAUUGACCAACUCUUUUCUACGCAUGCAUUUAAUGACGUAUUGUAGCCUUCAUUUCCAACGUGAAGCGCAGAUCGAGGGCGGGAUUCUUUCGGCUCCUAAUCACACGCCAUUCCUCGUCAAAUGCUCCGCAGACGUUCUUUCUCGUUUUAGCAUAUACAUGUUUUGCGCGUAUCGGGUAUUAUAUAUGAAUUCAAACUUAAAACAUAAUUUAACAUUCUUUAUGACACUGAUACAAAAUUCGAUAUUGAAUGAUUCUCCCAUUGACAAGUCGUUGGUAGCAAAAAUGCUUGUUAAUGGCCAACACAAUCAAUAAACAUACUACAAUUAUCAACAUAUGAUAAUGACUGGUCGACAAUUGACACUUAGAUAAAUCUAAAUAAAUGUUGAAGGCAGAAUCUAAAGACAAUAAAGAUGUUGAUUAACGGUUAGAUCAAGUUACACUUGAGAAGUCUUAACGGCUUGUAGAGAAAGUUGAUAUGCAAUCAUGGAGAGCGAUCAUGGAGUCUAAACUUAUGGAGAUGCAUUUGAGUCUAGUGACAACAGAAGAAUUAUAAUCGCUUAUAGAUAAGUUUGACGUGUAAUCACGGAUUGUGAUCAUAGAGCUUAAAAUCAUGGAGAUGCAGUUGUAACAUUUAAUUUGAAUGUUAACGAGUAUUGGAUAUUGUUACAUUUUGUAAUACGCUUUAUGGGCUCUAUUAAAUCGUUCUAGAGGAGGAUACAGUCAACCACACCAACUGUGUAUAUUUUCCCCGUGUAAAACUUUCUAGGCAGCUUAUUUGCCGUGUAUGAUAAAAUGUUGGAUUACAUAUAGCAGUGCCUUAACCGGAAACUUUUAUCAUCAGUGCUUGAUAGCCAAUUGGAAAAUCGAAAUUCGGGGUCAAUGUUCUACUUAAGGUGUUCAAAAUACAGUUGAUCCAUUCAACAACAAUUAUUCAAUUGACAAGACCAUUCUUUUCAUUUCUUUAUUUCUUACCGUGUUGACUUUGCAAUCGUCCUUGGUUUACCUUAUCAUAUUCUCUCACUCCAAUUAGCACUCCCACUAGGUUUCUUUCUUCUUGAUCAAUCUAUCCAAAUCAGAAAUGAUUACCCGUUUCAAACUGUACCAUUCAAAUUUAGAACAUUAUUUAAAUUUUAAAUAUUAUCUGAAAUUCCAUAUAUGUGAAUUUUCGUGUCGAUAAGUACAUAUUAUUAGAGUUUUAGAUGUUUGGGAUGAAAAAAGACAUCAAUAAGAUUUAGAUUAAAUAAAAGAUAAAGCUAUCGGUUAUUAAAAUUGAAAGUCACAUGUUAUAAUAAAAUUCCGAAAAGGAAACGCAGCACAUAGUUCGAGCUCGUCACGGGGCCAUAAGAAUGCGUGUUGGAAAAGAUCAACUUCGAAGAUUCUAUCGUUCCCAUUCUAUAUAAAAUAUAGUCUGCGAUCUUCCUGGCAAUUGGUUAAAGUCAAUAUGAUAUCAUAGUUACCUGGCCUUGAGACCAGGAUAAACGUGUUAUCACAUAAGUCGAGAUCAACUAUCAAAAGUGGGUACGAAUGCAAAAAAAUAUAAUUAAAAUUUUCGAGAGGAGCGGAAAAGUCGGUAUUUGAUAGAAUAGAUCGUUCCGCGUGAUUGGAUGUUUCGCAUAGUUUUAUGGGCAAGUGUUCAAAAUCUGAGAAAAUAUUGGGUGGGUUUUACCCUCCACGUAGGCGGUGGGUAAGACCACUCAGGAGUCGACACGUGGCUCCACGUGUCGACGGUGUCAGACGUUCAAAAGCGCUCCUGGGGCCCACCACUCUGACGCCCCUCCAUCUUCUGCGCUCCUAUCUCUCUCCUCUCUCUUCUCGCUCUCUCCGAAAUAAAUGGCUGGUGGCUCGGCUCGGCUCGGCUGGCAGAAGAAAGGACGGAUAAGAAGGGUAAUGAAUGCUCUGCGCUCCCGCUUAAAUUUUCUCUCUCCUCACUUGAAACUUUUUGGGUUUUGUCUCUCUCUCUUCGUCGAAGAGCAGACAGAGAACGAGCUGCACUUCCCUCUCAGCGCAUCCCACCCCUCCGCCUCCGCCUCGCCGAUCAUCUACCUCUGGCACGUCGCCUCCUCCAAGAGCCCCGCCUGUCACAGCUGGUUCCCGACCGCCUUCGCCUCCCACUGUUUCCAACGCGUAAGGUUUGUGCUCGCGUUGGUCUCUCGGCAACUUCUGGGCCUCCGUCCGAUUUCCUCCCUCCGACGAACUCGUCAUCAACUCCGACUCCGAGCCACCGCCGCCGCCAGAAUCCGCGCGCUGUUCUGGAGGUCGAAGAAGUCUCUGGAGCCUCGCGAGACCGUCCAUCUUUCCCUCGGCUAUUAUGCUCUGACGGCGCCGGGCGUCGAGGUUUGUUCUUAGUCACGUUCGCGAUGGUUCUGUUUCCGGGAUGUACGGAAUGAAUAGGUUCGUGUUCUGUCGCGCAGGAUGUCACGGCAGCGGAGUCGAGGCCGAAGAACAUAUCGCCCUCGGACGUGAGCCGAAUCGGGUUCACGGACGAGUCCGUGGAGGAGAUAGAGCCUCGGUUCCAGGCCGCGUUCAAGGUGAUGGAGGAGCUGGGGAAGGGUGCGAUCGCAAACCCUGCCCAGACGAGGGCUGCAUGGUCGGGCACUACUGGUUGAGGAAGUCGGAACUCGCGCCGGCCCGGUUCCUGAAGGCGCAGAUUGAGAGCACGCUUGACGCCGUCUGCAAUUUCGCUGCCGACGUGGUGCGCGGUAAGGUCAGUUCUGGAAUUCCGGUCGUCGUUGCUCUGUGUGGUAAGAGAGUCUGUAGUUCCCUGCGUUUUUUUUUUUCUUGGGAAUCGGUUUGCUGUUGUAGAUGCCUGUGUCUGUUUUUUAGUAAAUGCCAGCAUUGUCUUAGUCGCUCGAGGAAGCGCGAGCCGAGAAUAAAUUGAAUCAGUUUUUGGUCAAAGAGAUGGAGAGCUCGUUUACAUAUUAUUCACUUGAAAUGACCAUGUAUGGAAAUUUCUGACUCCAAGAUGUAGUAAUUUCAAAAUUUUCUUCAGGUUUUCCGAUUAAUGUCAUCAUGAAAUUCAGUUUCUGAUCGUUGGUUUUCGUUUAGUGUGCUUAACUGAUUGCAUUGGACACGGAAGGAUUGAUUGACUUGAUUAUGUUUGACGCAUAAUUUGCAGAUUAAGCCCCCUUCUACUUCUCCCGUGGAUCGCUUUACUCAAGUACCUUCAGUUGGAAUUAGAUGUUCAGCUCUUGGGCCACGGUUUGUUGCAGAGGCAUUGGCCAAGUGUAAGGAGUGCCACAAGACCAGGAAGAUCUUUGUUUCUGUAUGUGUUUGCCUCUCUGUACUUGGGCUAACGUUUUAGUCUGACAGUCAUGGAUGUUGAGUACACUAAGGAUUGCAGUUGUGUCUGAAGAAUCUAUACUGGGUAAAUGUGUUGAUGCUAAGUGGCAACUGGGCAGGUUGAGUUGCGAUAAACUGCUUGUGAUGUUAAAUUAACAGAUUGAUCUUUGUUCUCUUGUGAUAGGAAGCAAGAUGCAUGGCUUUUCUAUUUAUCUGGUUUAAUUAUGUUGUGCUGCUGAUGCUUCCUGACCCUUUGCUAUUGAUUAAAUAAGGUUUUGUCUUUUCUUCUUGUCAGCUCGAUAAGCUUAGUGACACACAAUGCCAGCCGGAGUCACAGUUGAAGUUCAUCAUAGAGGCCUGGCAACAGGUUUUAUUACUUAAUUAAACUUAAAUAUGAUUUAUGUGAUUUUCAGUUUGGAAUGUAAACACAGCUGUUAUAUAUGUUAAAAUCUGAUGUAGUGUUUUUGAUUUAUUAUCCUGACCUGCUUCUGUGAAACUAAAUUAGGCUCCUUUGAUGUUUGUAGAUAGUUGAGUGUAGGCGAGUGCUCAAGUGGACAUAUGCAUAUGGUUAUUAUCUACCAGAAUAUGAUCAUGCUAAGAAACAAUUUGAGUAUUUGCAAGGUUUGUAUUGGAGAGUAGGAUUGUGGAUAGACAAUGGCCAUGCAUAUUUUUGGAAUGUGUUAUUGCACGUCACAUGUAAAUAUAGACUUCCCAGUAAAAUAUCUCUACGGUUGUCACCUUAUAGGAUAUUGCUCACUUUAGGCCUGAUAUGAAGUUGCUUAUUUUAAGUGCCAAACUAGAUGCAGAGAAGUUCAGUGAUUUUUUUCACUCCACCCUGAUAUUUAGAUAUGCAGUAAGGCGGUAUCCAAUUGAAAUUCUUCACACCAGUGCACCUGAAGCAGAUUACUUGGAUGCAGCUAUUCAAAGUGUAAAUAAGACAACUGUACUUUUUAUUUAUUAUAAGACAAAUGCACUUUGGCCAAUCAACUAACACUAUUUUACCUUCAUAUCAUUUCAAUUUGGGUGCAUCUAAAACAGGUUCAUUUCCUUUUUAUUUUUUUUGUUUCUGACUUGAAUCGCUGCACAAUAUUGUUAAGCUCUGUCAUCUGGAGAAUAUGUUGGAAAGAAUGACAGCAUGUAUCUGCCUUUUUCUUUUUUUCCAUAGGUAUAGCAUUAUGUAUCCAUUAGACUAGUUAUUGAAGAAAGCAUGUAUCUGUUGGCCUGUGCUUAUGCUUACCAGUCAUCCCUUCAAAUUAUCAAAUACUCUACAAAACCAUCUGUUGUCCCUUUCAUUUGCUGAGUGGCCAUCCCUUAUUCUUCUGUUUACUUCUUGUCAUUUAUUGCUGUCCAUCGGAUUCUCAUCGUGAGAGUAUAAAAGUUCACAUUUGUAAUACAGUUGACCCCAGUCAAGCUACUGGAAGUUGUACUUAGCUUUUUGUUUGUUUCUGCAUGUUGGUUGUGCAACCGUUGGAUGAAUUCAUCAGGAAUGUAACCUCGAAGAAAUCUCCGAUGAUGAUGAACCCCCAAUAAAAGGUUCCAAGGAUAAAAAAUCAAAUGGUCCAGACUCUGGAAAAGGACCUGGUCUUGUCUUCAAGAUAACUAGCAAGGUUCCUUACAAGACAGUACUAAAAGGUACUUAUUCUUUCAUACAUUAUGUCUUUUAUCUUUAGGAUUUUGACUAUCCCUUCAAACUGCCAAUUGGAUGUCCUGCUUCCAUGUUGUAGCUCACGGUGCGGUGGUAUUGAAGGCUGAGAUUAUGGCAGAGAAGGUUGAGUGGUUGAGCAAAUUAAGAAAUGUUGUCCUGCCUUCUACUGGAGGUCAAAUGAAGGGAGAAUCUGGGCUCCCCCUCCGGCAAAGCCUCUCCGAUGGUUCUCUGGUGAGUCAUCUAAUGGUAUUGCUUUGUAACAAAUUCCCUUCCUUUCCCUUCUUCCGCAAGGGGGAAAAAAGAAACAACCAUCAACCCCUAAAGGGAGAUAGAAAAUCAAUGGGUUUGUUUUAUCUUUAGCGACUGCAAGCAAGAUCCAUCUGUUUCACUUUCCACUCUUCCAACUGUCCAGUGUUCCUGCAGGAGUUCUUUGAAGAUAGAACUUCGGUGGAUGUCCCAAGAAGUUCGUGGUUAUGUCGAAGCAGUUCUCAACAGCCUUGGUGCUAAUGUUCCAAAAAUCAGUUUUCUUUACUUGGUGCUGUUGUUCUUAUGUUUGCUGAGACGGUGGCAUUGCUUUUUAUUUCACUAGCUUCUUAUGUCCCUGAGCAGGCCGUGGUACUUUGCCAAGUAGAGAAAGCCAAAGAGGACACGCUCAAUCAAUUAUACAGUUCGAUCAGGUUAGCUUGAAGAUCACAUUGAUUGUUUGUGUUUUUGGUGAAUCGAUUUUUUUUUCUUUUGAAUUUUUCAUAGUAUGCUCGUGUUCCUUACUACAUGGUGCAAAUGCAAGGUAUUCGAAGCAUUCCUUUUUGGAGUGGUGGUUUGUUAAGACCACUGCAAGUAGCAUCUAUUGCAUCUGAGCAUAUGUUGUUGGAAAUGGUUCCCUAUAAUGAAAACAUAUAUUAGAAUAUUGCAUUGACCACAUAUCUAUUGUGUUCUGUUUUGUAGCUACAGUUUCCAAUUCGACAGCACUAAUAUGCUUCAUAUGUAACCUUUUUUACACUAUUCUAUAUCAUUAAUGAAGGUUUAUUCUUGAAUGAUUAGUCAUCCUUUUUUGUUUACAUUGGAUUGUAGUGCUCAAAGCACAGCAAGAAUUGAAGAACUGCUUCUAGAGGAUUAGAAUGUAAAACGUAAGAGGGAAAAAUGCCAGAAACAGGCCUCCCUCCUGUCGAAACUCACAAGACAACUCAGCAUUCACGAUAAUCGAGCAUCUGCUGCCUCUAGCUGGUGUGAUAGCAGCAGUCCUGCAGGUAAUAGCUAGUGCGGUUUUAGUUAAAUGUGCAGUGCAUCUUUAAAAUCUGAACAGCUUAUGGAGUAGGACUUGUGUGCCAUGGCAGUAUAAUUCUUAUAAGUUGUGUCUGAAGGGUUAGGAAAACUGAUUUCUUAAAGGACUUUCUGUUUCCAAAUUGAUUUCUCUCUGCUAGUAUGCCUUUGGCUGUUGCUUAUGCUGUAAAGUUUAAUGGAGCUUACCCUUCGGGAGAGUUCUUUUUUUUUUCUUCCCUGGUUUAUAGUGAUAAAAUGGUGUGCCCAAUGCUUCAGAAUUUAAUCUCCAACUGGCAGUCUCAAGUGGUUUAAAUGCUGAAAGUUUCUCAAAUCUUAUGUUUCUGGAAAUGCGGAAUUGUGAUGUUAGAAAUCACUGACUGGUAAAAGCCUCUCCAAUCAGCAUGAAACUUCAAAUUGGGAAUGGAAAAGGAUACUGGUCUUUAUUGUGAUUUAAAUGGUGAAAAUUUCUCGAAUCUAAUAAUUUCUCUGUAUGUGGAAGAAUGGUGUUGUGAUUUUAGAAAAGGUAAGCUUUUGCAAUUUGCAUCAAAAUUCAAAUUGGGAACUGAGAAAACGUUAGCUGUGGACUAAAGUGCAGUUUAAAUUAGGUUUCUUGAAUCUGAAUUUUCAUGUAUUUAUCUUGGAAAAGCGAAUUUGUGAUUUUGGAAACCAUUGGUUGGUAGAAUCCUUCCCAUGAUCAUUUAGUACUUUGUGACGUGAACCUCUUCCUCUUCCUCUUUGAGAUGUUUUCAUAGAAGCUUCUUGAUUGAUUCUCUAUUUACUAUCAGAGACUUGACUGCAGUGCUUCCUAUAUUGCACUUAUUUCCUGGUAAUUGAAAAAAGAACGAAGAAAAAUCUACCUCAACUGCUGAGUUUAUCCAUAUCUAUAUUGCGCAGAAAGCCCAAGAAGUAAUGGACCCUCAUCUGGUGAUGACUGGAGGAGCGCAUUCGAUGCGGCCUCCAAUGGACACUGAUUAUCUCGGUUUGGGACGAGCCACAGUUGAUGGAACAGUGACCCUGCUCAAAAUGGUGAUGUCAGCUCGGCAUAAAAUCCCGGUGGCCGGCGUACACCGAAUCUAUUACCGCCUGCACCCCCACAGUCAGGUUCGACUUACGGAUACUAGAUGUUUGAAGAUCAUGAUGGAUAAUGACUCUCAAGGCAUUCUUGUUGGAUGGGUGUCUUUACUCCUGCUGGUUUGAGUAUUUAAAUUGAAUCACAUGUCGCUGUAUAUGCUUCAUAGAGGUGAGAAUGAGUAUUAGGUGGUCAUGUUUAAAAAUUACGCGAUUAAUAUCCGAGCCUGCCCAUCCGACUGUCUGUCAUCCAGAUUAGUUCCUUUCAUUGGAAGGAUUGGUUUGUUAAUUUUUUUUUUCUUUUCAGUAGGGUUGGGGGGGCGGGGCUGCGGGGGCAAGGUAGGGAUAGGUUACAAUUUUUGCUCGCAGUGACAUGCUUUGGAUGGAGGAUUGUAUACCAUGUUUUGCUGGUGAAGUGCAUUAUCCGCUUCGGAGUACAAACCUAUUAUUCUAAAAUAUAAGCUUCCAAGAGCACAGACCUAUUAUUCUGAAAUAUAAGCUUCUGAGUUUCGAUUAAAGUGAUGCUCAUGCCUUUUUUACUAUCGUCUUCACUGACUGAAUCAAACAUGUUCAUGGAGUUUGAGCCUUUUUAAUCUAGACUUCUUGUUACCUCGAAAUUGUAAGCCCAAUUUACGUCAUUUUCCAUAUCUAUUAAAAUUUUGAAAAGGUUGUAAUUUAUGGAUGCAAAAUUUCGUAAUAUCAUAAUAGCAAAAUUAUGUAUCAUUGAAUGAUUCCUCUUUUUUCUUUCUUUUUUUCUCAAAAAAACUAUGUAGUUUAUCUAUCCAUUCUAUUGUAUAGCGCCAAUCUUUUCCAGGGCUAUGAUACAAUGUAAUACUACAACUCAUUUGUUCAGGAAGCUUGAAAUAUAUAUUUUUUUGUAUCAUUUAUAAAAAUAAAUAAAUAAAAAUAUUUUUAUUAUUCACGAAAACAUUUAAAUAUAAAUUAUAAUGAAUAAUUAUAAAAAUUAUCUACUAAUUAAUAAAAGGGGUAAAAAAAAUUACUAUUAAGAAAGUAUUUGUGAUCAUUUAUCUUUACCAAAAUAAAUGCAACUUAAAUAUACAAUCCAUUUAUUUUUAUCUUAUUUGGGAACUUUACAUUAGCAAUUGCGAUCCUUUGUUGGCAUCAAUUUUUUUCCGUUGGAGGCACCCAUAUAUGGGGCAAACCUUAUUUUUAACAAGUCAAGUAGAGAACAAUCCAAGUGAAGAAAUGGCCGAUCGUCAGCCUUCCGCAAUUGGAGAACUUUGGAGGCCUGGCUGACGAUUUGAUGAUAUAUGUUUUCACUGAUGAUGUCAUGCACUGAUGAUGUUAUGCCUCUUUAAGCUCAUCAGGAGCUUCGAGAUCAAGUAGGGAGGGUCUCCAUAUCAACAUCACACCAAGGCGGCCAGAUCGCAAAAACCCACAAGCAUUGUUUCUAUAGCGACUCUUUUACUAGAAUGAAAUGGUCGACUAACGGAUCUGUACAUUAGAAAUGGAUAGAUCUUUCCUUCAUCAAGAUGUACAUACCACAACCAUACAGACAUGGACUUCCUACCUGCAUGUGUCUACUGUAUGCCUUCUUUAAAGGGUCCAGAAUUGCGGAUCAAAUUCAUCACAAGUUUGACCUGCAGAUAAGGCAAAUGUUCUGAUUACGCUAACAGGAAAUUUCAGAUCAUACGUGGUUUAAUGUUCCUUUUCUUUUAACUAAGAGUUAGAGGUGAUAUCCAAUAUAGUGGCGCAAUGGAGUUAUCCGCUAUACAGGAAGAAGAAACUUCUUUUAGAAAAGCAAACGUAAGUCCUAAAACAUUGUCCAACUUCACUGCUGGGACCUUCCUUAUAUCUACUUUGCUAAAAUGCAUUAGGGAAUGAAGUGUGCUGGAACAAAUAACGAAAAUAAGAAGGCAAGGGUUCGGCAUCAACAGUGAUCAUCUACGACACAGAUAGUUCAGUUGAAUACAAUGUCUACUGCUACCUCCUUUGUGACUGCAUCACUGGGCCAACCACACAAUAAACAUAGGAAGUGAAAAAUGUUCUUGCGUUCGCAACAUAUGAGAAGGAUCGAAUGUUCACCACAACACGAUGAUAGUGCUAUUAAUAAAUGAGUUGUUCUCGCCUGAUGGCAUUUUAGUAACAUACCUGAGUUGCCUCGCGCACUACAAAUUCUUCUAUGGCCUUGCUGAUGUCAUGCACUGAUGAUGUUAUGCCUCUUUAAGAUCAUCAGGAGCUUCGAGAUCAAGUAGGGAGGGUCUCCAUAUCCUCCACUGUUUUCAAAUUAAGCUCUAUAGCAGCUUCUAUUGCUUGUUAUGUAGAUAAAAGUAAAUAGUUAUAUUGUUCCAAACAUGACAAGCGCAUGCUUCCAUAUCACAAGAACUAUUAUCCUCACAUAGCAAAUCUGCUUUUCGCUAAUAUUAGUUGAUCUACCACUUCCUCUUUCCUCUUUGUUUCUGCAACUCCGCUGCAAAUUCCUUGAUGGGAAAUUUUUCAUUAGCAUAUGAGGACUAUUAUGAUGUAGAGAAAAGCUUUGUCAACUUCUGGAAUGACAUUUCUAGAUAUGCCCAUGCCUUUACAGCAGCUAAAGUCCCCAUUUAGAGCGGAAGAUAAUCAUGGUAGUAGGCCUGAACAAUGACAUUUAUCUUAGCUGCUGUACCUGUCACAUAGACCCAUGGAUAAUCAUCACCUAACGCUAUCCUUUUAUUACAACAAAAUAGGUCCCCAAUUCUUCAAAGAACAAAAUUAUACGCAAGCAGAUUCCAAAACCAAAUGAAUGAUAUUUACUUCAUGAUUUCAAGUAUAUUCACACAUUCUAGUAUUCUUACUUGGGAAGAAUUUACAUAAUCUUAGAGAAUCGGUUGCCACUUUAAAUUGACAAUCUCUUCCUCUAUUUAGCUUGCACUUACAUUUGAUAUCUUGUUCACGCUUUUACUAUACUGAAGUCUCAAGGUACAACACAUGGGUUAGCAAAUCCAUACCAUGCAAUUAAGUCCAUUAGUUCACCCUUGUCAACAUAAGGUUAAACGAAUCUCACUUUUUAAAAUAGGCAGUAAGCACCCAAGAAAGAACUUCCAUAUCAAGUAUAUAUCAAACUCACAGGAGUUUUGCAUGUUAAAUAGAGACAAACCUGGUAAUAACAAGCUUCAAAAUGUAAGUUGGGAUAAUAAGCUUUUGGGUGACAGCCCCAGAGGCGCCCAUAUAUAGUAUCUCCGCCUAUAAGAUUAAGGGCUCCCGCAACAAGUUCAUCCCCUUCUUCAGCUACAACCAUUAACACUUGGUCUCCCAUUUUUGAUCCCAUGUUAUGAAAAAACUCUCUUGACAAAUAAGGGCUGCCCCACCUAAAUAAACAUAAGCAGCAAGACAUGAUCUACUUAAAGCUCUCAUAUCAAAUAAAGAUGCCUUUGAAUAUACACAAGAGGCAGGCAAAACAAUCAACAAUAUCAUAUUUUCUGCAAAGGAAAGACACAACCAGUCACUGGACCCAUACUUGAUAUCGGUGGUGUUCCUGUAGAACGUAUAGAAAGAACCCCAGUGCUUAGCCUGCACACACAAUCAAAACCAAGAAGCUCAAGUCCUUCAUGUUUCACAAAGUGAAGGUAUUAAUUUAGGAGUAAGUUGUAAGAGAACAGGAGUCACAUAUGGAUGAUCACAUCUAAGGACUACUCAUCUAAAAGCUCAAACCAGUGGACAGAAAGUUGCUACUAGCAUCUAAAUUCAAAUUAAUAGUAUUACUGGGAAGUUGCGACUUGAUAUACUUAUUUAUACUUCUCUGUACAGUUAACCAACUAGUCUCUAUUCACAUUGAUAUCAAAUUGAACCGGCUGGAUUACAUAUAUUAUUAAACCUCACAUAUUUUGGGUAGGAUUGGCUUAAAAUCUUCCCCGAGACACUUUUGCCAUGAUAUUUGUACUCAUUACCUUUAUUUCAUUCCCUCGAAGCCGCUUCAUUGUCAAGUUUUGGGCAGAAAUCUGCAGAAAGGAUUCAAUCCAAUGAGUAAAAGCUUGUGUGCCCAAAAAGAUGCAACGUAAACUGGCACUAUGAGACUAUAAGAUGCAACAGAUAAAAAUGCAAACUGAUUUUUGAUAAGAUACCAUAGUGCACCAGCAAUGAAUUCUGAUAACUUAAUGGGGAAUUUAAUAUUCUGUCUGUGCUAUUAGCAAAAUUGAUUUUAACAGGCAAAAAGGAAAUUAGUACUACAUGAAAGUUUAUGUGUGUGUUUUUUUCCCCAUUAGUAUAGGUACAAAUACAGUUGAUACACUGCCACUGAUAUAUUUGCAUUAAACAUUUGUAGAACGUAACAGUGAUAGGCAUUUGUAAAGAUCAGUUCAUAUAAUACUUCCCCAUAACUCAUGUCAUCAUAAAGAACGACCAAUUCGUUACUCAACUGUUCAUAUUUUACUGCUUUGAAGCAUCUUCAGCAAUUAGUCAGUUUUCCAGUUGUCCAAGAAGCUCAACUACCAGUAUAACACUUUACUUCAGCAGAGUGAAUUUCAGCAAAUGCAUAAGGUCAGUCAGCAUUAUAUCCGAAAUUGGGAAUGCAAUCCCCAUGAAGCAUCAGUCUCAGAGUGUUAGUAAAAAGUUCUACGAGCAUUUAGUGAAGAUUGCAGUAACAUAUAUCGUUCCAUAAUAACUACUUUCUUCAUUUCCCCUGUGACAAGCAUAUGUAUCAACACAAUUUACUAAAAAAAUUUUAUCAAAUUUUCAACCAUAUAUUUAAGGAAUAAAGAACUAAGAGCAAGAUUUAAAAGAAUUUCUAGGUGGGAGUAUCUUCCCAAAAUAAAGGGAAUUCCCAAAUAAAAUAACAUUUGGAAAAACUAACCUUCUUGCGCUCCUGACGUAUAUUUUUCCUUUUGUUCUGCUUCAUGUCCAUCAAAAAGUCAUCAAAACUGUGGCACAGACAGUGAAACUUGAAGCAUGUACCUUUUGCAUGCAAGAUAAACACAAGAAAUGUAAAAAGAUCAAAAGUUGGCAAUCCAAGUAAAUUUAAGACACCACUCAUUCAGAGAAGUAAUGCUGCAAUCAUAUGCUAACUGGCAGGACUAUUGCAAAGGAAACUGAUGCAUGCACAAUAUCAAAUGGAGAAAAUUGACAGCAGCAUUACGUCCAAGUAUAUUUUUAAGCAAAAGCUGCAGUUGACCUAGAUAACAUUGUGAGGCAUAUACCCCUUGACAUGCUAUCUAGAUCAAAAAGAGACAACUCCAUUCAACUCCCAAAUUCUUUCAACCCUCAUUGACAAUCAAGAAAAGGGGUCAAAGGUGUAUGAUAGCUAUGAUGUAAUUGAGUGAGUCUUAUGAAAUUUCAAACUUGUCUUAUUUACACUUUGAAUAGCUGCAUCCAAGUAAUCUGCUUCAGGUGCACUGGUGUGAAGAAUUUCAAUUGGAUACCGCCUUACUGCAUAUCUAAAUAUCAGGGUGGAGUGAAAAAAAUCACUGAACUUCUCUGCAUCUAGUUUGGCACUUAAAAUAAGCAACUUCAUAUCAGGCCUAAAGUGAGCAAUAUCCUAUAAGGUGACAACCGUAGAGAUAUUUUACUGGGAAGUCUAUAUUUACAUGUGACGUGCAAUAACACAUUCCAAAAAUAUGCAUGGCCAUUGUCUAUCCACAAUCCUACUCUCCAAUACAAACCUUGCAAAUACUCAAAUUGUUUCUUAGCAUGAUCAUAUUCUGGUAGAUAAUAACCAUAUGCAUAUGUCCACUUGAGCACUCGCCUACACUCAACUAUCUACAAACAUCAAAGGAGCCUAAUUUAGUUUCACAGAAGCAGGUCAGGAUAAUAAAUCAAAAACACUACAUCAGAUUUUAACAUAUAUAACAGCUGUGUUUACAUUCCAAACUGAAAAUCACAUAAAUCAUAUUUAAGUUUAAUUAAGUAAUAAAACCUGUUGCCAGGCCUCUAUGAUGAACUUCAACUGUGACUCCGGCUGGCAUUGUGUGUCACUAAGCUUAUCGAGCUGACAAGAAGAAAAGACAAAACCUUAUUUAAUCAAUAGCAAAGGGUCAGGAAGCAUCAGCAGCACAACAUAAUUAAACCAGAUAAAUAGAAAAGCCAUGCAUCUUGCUUCCUAUCACAAGAGAACAAAGAUCAAUCUGUUAAUUUAACAUCACAAGCAGUUUAUCGCAACUCAACCUGCCCAGUUGCCACUUAGCAUCAACACAUUUACCCAGUAUAGAUUCUUCAGACACAACUGCAAUCCUUAGUGUACUCAACAUCCAUGACUGUCAGACUAAAACGUUAGCCCAAGUACAGAGAGGCAAACACAUACAGAAACAAAGAUCUUCCUGGUCUUGUGGCACUCCUUACACUUGGCCAAUGCCUCUGCAACAAACCGUGGCCCAAGAGCUGAACAUCUAAUUCCAACUGAAGGUACUUGAGUAAAGCGAUCCACGGGAGAAGUAGAAGGGGGCUUAAUCUGCAAAUUAAGCGUCAAACAUAAUCAAGUCAAUCAAUCCUUCCGUGUCCAAUGCAAUCAGUUAAGCACACUAAACGAAAACCAACGAUCAGAAACUGAAUUUCAUGAUGACAUUAAUCGGAAAACCUAAAGAAAAUUUUGAAAUUACUACAUCUUGGAGUCAUAAAUUUCCAUGCAUGGUCAUUUCAAGUGAAUAAUAUGUAAAUGAGCUCUCCAUCUCUUUGACCAGAAACUGAUUCAAUUUAUUCUUGGCUCGCGCUUCCUCAAGCGACUAAGACAAUGCUAGCAUUUACUAAAAAACAGACACAGGCAUCUACAACAGCAAACCGAUUCCCAAGAAAAAAAAAAACGCAGGGAACUACAGACUCUCUUACCACACAGAGCAACGACGACCGGAAUUCCAGAACUGACCUUACCGCGCACCACGUCGGCAGCGAAAUUGCAGACGGCGUCAAGCGUGCUCUCAAUCUGCGCCUUCAGGAACCGGGCCGGCGCGAGUUCCGACUUCCUCAACCAGUAGUGCCCGACCAUGCAGCCCUCGUCUGGGCAGGGUUUGCGAUCGCACCCUUCCCCAGCUCCUCCAUCACCUUGAACGCGGCCUGGAACCGAGGCUCUAUCUCCUCCACGGACUCGUCCGUGAACCCGAUUCGGCUCACGUCCGAGGGCGAUAUGUUCUUCGGCCUCGACUCCGCUGCCGCGACAUCCUGCGCGACAGAACACGAACCUAUUCAUUCCGUACAUCCCGGAAACAGAACCAUCGCGAACGUGACUAAGAACAAACCUCGACGCCCGGCGCCGUCAGAGCAUAAUAGCCGAGGGAAAGAUGGACGGUCUCGCGAGGCUCCAGAGACUUCUUCGACCUCCAGAACAGCGCGCGGAUUCUGGCGGCGGCGGUGGCUCGGAGUCGGAGUUGAUGACGAGUUCGUCGGAGGGAGGAAAUCGGACGGAGGCCCAGAAGUUGCCGAGAGACCAACGCGAGCACAAACCUUACGCGUUGGAAACAGUGGGAGGCGAAGGCGGUCGGGAACCAGCUGUGACAGGCGGGGCUCUUGGAGGAGGCGACGUGCCAGAGGUAGAUGAUCGGCGAGGCGGAGGCGGAGGGGUGGGAUGCGCUGAGAGGGAAGUGCAGCUCGUUCUCUGUCUGCUCUUCGACGAAGAGAGAGAGACAAAACCCAAAAAGUUUCAAGUGAGGAGAGAGAAAAUUUAAGCGGGAGCGCAGAGCAUUCAUUACCCUUCUUAUCCGUCCUUUCUUCUGCCAGCCGAGCCGAGCCGAGCCACCAGCCAUUUAUUUCGGAGAGAGCGAGAAGAGAGAGGAGAGAGAUAGGAGCGCAGAAGAUGGAGGGGCGUCAGAGUGGUGGGCCCCAGGAGCGCUUUUGAACGUCUGACACCGUCGACACGUGGAGCCACGUGUCGACUCCUGAGUGGUCUUACCCACCGCCUACGUGGAGGGUAAAACCCACCCAAUAUUUUCUCUCAAAAUCUAGGCUGUAUAUCUUACGCGUUCAAAGCUAUAUAUCAUUUAAAGUGCCACCAUGAUGAAUCAAAUGUAUAACAAACUUAAAGCAGUCCGGAUAGUAUAAGCCCUAAAUAUAAAUUUGAUGUUGAUAUUGAAUGUUGACGUUGACCAAAACCUAUGCUUCGCUUCAGGAACACUGUUUUGAUUCGUUCAAAAGCAAAGUUUUUCAACAUAAUAUGGAUAACAUCUGUAAAAACAAUUUUCAACUGUUGUUUGUUGAUGAGUGGGAAGGUUCUGUAGACCCAUUAAUGUUUCGUUGAGAAAGAAUAAUACUAGAUGAACUAAAAUUUCCUGCAAAAAUACUUUACUAAAUGACGAGAAAUGUUUGAGUAAGGGAAAGUGCUAAUAUUGUCCCACAGAAAGAUCAAAACCAAGCAGGCAAUAAUGAAGUAUAGCCCAGGUCUCUUUUGAAGCGGCGUUGGCCAUGAAGGCGAAAUUACUCAAAUGGUACAAGAACGUUCCACCUGUUUGAGUCCUUUGUCCUCAAGGUUCACGUUGAAUCGAAACUCUGUUUGUUCUAUAUUACCAAAAAUUGGGGCUAUGUGAGGAUGUCCAAGUGGAGGAGAUAUUAGCAAUGGUGAGGAAUUGGUUCUACAAUAAGUAUGAUGCAUAUGCCAACCGAGUGGAGAUGGUGCCGUUACCGAGUAAUACCUAAAAAUCUGUAUAUCAUUGCUUCGUGAAAGGAAGAGGCUUUUGCUAGCUCUUUGUCUUCAUCUAUCAAUAAGGUUGAGACAUAUUUGACAACUCACUAUUCAAACUACAUUCAAAGAGUUCGCCAAAACAAAAUCAGCAUCCUUAAAUGAUCAUAACUUUUGUACGACGGUUGAUAACUUACUAAACCCACAAGGUUCAUUGUAUCAUCAAUGCCCAUGUUAAGUGAUAGCCGAAAGAUUGGGAAAGAUAAUAGGAGAUCAUUAGCUGCAAAAAAAUAUAGAAAUAGCUGGUUGAGAGGAGGUAUUAUCCAAAAAGUUACGUUCAUCUGUCCUCCAUUUGGUUAUUCACUGGUUUUCUCGCAAAGAAAAAAGAAAAGGUUCAAUAAUUUCAUAAGUAUCAAAAUUCAAGCCGCCACAGACCCCACUCCAAAAUAGAACAUGUGGACAAAUAGAGAUUUCGACGAAGCAACUUGCGUAGGAGCUACACAAGCUAUAUAUUCAUACAUUAUCGACGCCGAUCAAAGAAAGACCCCAAAACCCGAAAAAAAUCUAAGAAGAAUGGAUCCUCCCAAACUCCCUCUCUUGCUUGUUCUCGUGUUUGCUUCCACCAUCGACGCCCAAGAUCUCUUCCCAAAGCCGUACUGUGGUUCGACCGGCAACUUCAGCGCCAACAGCACCUACCAAACCGCCCUCACCGCCCUCCUCUCCUCCAUCUCCACCACCAACUCCUUGUCCCUCACCUACGGCUUCUUCAACGCCUCCUUCGCCGUCUCCGGCGCCUCCCAAACCCUCUAUGUCAUCGGCUCCUGCCGCGGCGACCUCACCUCCGAGAGCUGCCGCACCUGCCUCAAUGGCUCAGCCUCCGACAUCCGCCACCUCUGCCCCCUCCAGAAGGAGGCGGUCCUCUACAGCGAGAACUGCUCCGUCCGUUACUCCAACACCUCGAUCUUCCGCACAGUCAAAACCGACCCUGACUACCAGCUGUUCAACGUCAACAACGUCACGAGCCCAGACACGUACAACGCUGCGCUGCGGACGCUGCUGGACCGUUUGCGGGGUGAGACAGCGGGCGGCGGCUCGCUGAGGAAGUACGCGACGGGCAACACAUCGGCGGUUUUCAACACGAUCUACGCGAUGACACAAUGCACGCCGGACUUGACCAACCAGCAAUGCAUCGACUGCCUGGUGACAGUCAUCGGGAGACUUGGGCCGUGCUGUGCUGGGAAGAUGGGA
rnacentral:lncRNA from 1 species